rnacentral:rRNA from 1 species
AUUGAACGCUGGCGGCAUGCCUUACACAUGCAAGUCGAACGGCAGCACGGGGCAACCUGGUGGCGAGUGGCGAACGGGUGAGUAAUGCAUCGGAACGUACCUUUCAGUGGGGGAUAACGUAGCGAAAGUUACGCUAAUACCGCAUAUUCUGUGAGCAGGAAAGCAGGGGAUCGCAAGACCUUGCGCUGAUUGAGCGGCCGAUGUCAGAUUAGCUAGUUGGUGAGGUAAAGGCUCACCAAGGCGACGGUCUGUAGCGGGUCUGAGAGGAUGAUCCGCCACACUGGAACUGAUACACUGUCCAGACUCCUACGGGAGGCAGCAGUGGGGAAUUUUGGACAAUGGGGGCAACCCUGAUCCAGCCAUGCCGCGUGAGUGAAGAAGGCCUUCGGGUUGUAAAGCUCUUUCGGCCGGGAAGAAAUCGCACGGGCUAAUACCCUGUGUGGAUGACGGUACCGGAAUAGGAAGCACCGGCUAACUACGUGCCAGCCGCCGCCGUAACAC